rnacentral:rRNA from 1 species
AGCACCACAACGGGUGGAGCUUGCGGUUUAAUUGGAUUCAACGCCGGAAAUCUUACCGGGACCGACAGCAAUAUGAAGGCCAGGCUGAAGACUUUGCCGGAUUAGCUGAGAGGUGGUGCAUGGCCGUCGUCAGUUCGUACUGUGAAGCAUCCUGUUAAGUCAGGCAACGAGCGAGACCCACGCCCACAGUUGCCAGCGUACUCUCUGGAGUGACGGGUACACUGUGGGGACCGCCGCUGCUAAAGCGGAGGAAGGAAUGGGCAACGGUAGGUCAGUAUGCCCCGAAUAUCCCGGGCUACACGCGAGCUACAAUGGUUGGUACAAUGGGUAUCUACCCGAAAGGGGACGGGAAUCUCCUAAAACCAAUCUUAGUUCGGAUUGGGGGCUGCAACUCGCCCUCAUGAAGCUGGAAUCCGUAGUAAUCGCGUUUCAACAGAACGCGGUGAAUACGUCCCUGCUCCUU